GAGAAGAUGCAGACGACAACAUAAAGACUGACGAUCUCGAGAGGAUGGGGAAGACAUCGCAAAGACUCACAUGGACUAUUCACGGGUGCUUUGCUGUGAUGCGGACCGCGCUAAGACAUAAAAAAGUGGAGACGUGAUAAGAAUGGGUUGGAGAUUGUGAGAGAGACAUCCCACGUUCUCCUCGCGAGCCAGAAGUUCCUCUCAUCUUCUUUCCUUGAGAAAUUGUACUCUAAAUAUCCUGCACUGCUCAAACCUGACAUUGCCCUUCAAUUUGUUGUCUCAUGGUCACAAUGUGAUCUGGUGAUCAAACAUUUAUAAGGUUUCGCCGUUCCAACAGCCCUCUGAGGGAACUCGUAACAACAACCCGGCCGAGACAAAAAUGAUUUUGACACGCCUGGUCUAAAGGGUACCGACAGAGCGGAGGGAGCCCAAAUGGACAAUUCCCGGGAGUGUCUUUUUCCCAAAUAGAGUGGAAUUUGCACAGCCGUCUCCCUGCGGGAUGAUUUGCUGUCAGGCGCCAUAUCUGGGCAGAGUCACCUCCAGUUAAAGUUACAUGAUGGACGACGGGGCAAUCAGAUCCACUUUCCGAUACCAUGAGAAGCGUCUGCAGCGCGGGAAGAAUUACUGCGCGUACGACAGACGCGAAAAGCGCGGACUGCCAUUUUCUCGACGCCAUUGCGCGCUGAAUAAAGGUUCACGGCCUCUCGAUGUGCGCUGGAGAUCAUCGAGGGCAGUGAUUCCCAAACAGUGCGCCGGGGGACAUUGGUGUGCCGUGAGGGCUUUUCAGGUCCACAUUAAGUAUGGGGGGUCCCACCUGUCCUGGCGCCCCCGGCCGACCCUGAGCGGCGGGUCAUUUGGCGGCGAGGUGGUCCUCGCUGGGCUACAGCCGACGACGGUGCGCACAGUGUGAAACGAUGCAUUAGGCUGGCACCCCCCUGCCCCCGUCCCGAAUGGCGGGCUGGACGCGCGGCGGCUUUAACGGCGACCACCGCGCUUCCCUUUGGCUCCAUGUGUGGUCCUCCACCGGACGACAAACCUUCUUCUUUUAGAGACAAACAACACACACACACACACACGUUGUACGUGUGUUGAGUGUAUAAACAUGUCCAUGUUGGUGAAUGUUUUGGGCGUCUUUAAAGAGGCCUAAAAAGACAACUUGAGUUGAACGCAAUCUCGAUAAACGACAAACAGAUUACGUUAAACUUGAAUAUCCGUCAAGUGCUGUACGAUACACUUUCGAAAAUGGGAAGUGUACUGCAUCAGCUCAUUCUAAUAUUUUGGGGUCCAAAUAUUAGAAUCCGCCCAUAAUAGAGCACAAGCAAAUUCCACAAUCAUAAUGAUCGAUCAACAAGAAAUGCUAAGUAGAUUUCCUUCAUGGGAUCUAAAUAGAGUACGCAAAAAGCAUUAGUACAACCCUUACUAGCACCAUAACGAUCAAUAAAAUUAAUAAUAACAAUUAAUAUAAUUCUGGAUCCAAAAGAGGACCCCUGAGAGCCGUCAGCCCAUUUCCAUUCCUUUAUUUAUUCAUUUUUGGCCCCGUUUCUGCCAAAUGUGCCUUGCCCAAAGGUCGGUAGUAACAGCUAAAUUUACUUUGUUACUUUAGGAACUUUUUAAUUGAAUUGUAUUUGUCAGAGGAAUUGUAAGGCAACAUACUUUUUACUUUUACUCGCAAAUUGUCCGUUUGGUGGGGGUUGUGAGAGGCUGUGAUGUUUGUAAAAUUAUUUGAAGACCAUUUCUCGUGCCUGAAUGUUCUUUAAUUCAUGUUAAAAAAAAAUGGGAUCCAUUGUUAAAAUUCACGUCAUGUCGGGUAUUAUCUGAAGUAUUUUAGAUUUUUUGUCUAUUUGACAUUCAUAGUAAUUUAAAAAAAAAUUGAAACUAGCUACCCCGUUUGAGUACUUUUUCAUUGAGUACUUGAGUACAAAUAGAUGUUGUUUUUUUUUAACCAAAGUAUCAACCCAAAUGAGUACAAGCGCUGUAAAAUACAGCGGUGAAAGUAUUGUGUACUAAUGAAGUAUACUGUAUUUAGAAGGAGAUACGCAUUAUGGGUAAAAGAAGGUCCAAGUUGUAUAUUUUGUAUGGCGACGGCUUUCUGAUAUCGCGCAACCUGAUCGGGGGGGCCGCUGCACGUCACUUUCACGCAGCGUGACUAAGCCUCCAGUAACCGAAGCCCCGGCCCACCGGCGUCCCCGCGGACCUCGGCCUUCGCGUCCGACACGCCGCAGAAACAGCCCCCGCACACACACGCACACCCUCCCCCCUAAAAAAAACCCCAGUGCGGCCCGCGGGGACCUUGUGGAAGCAAACAGUGAGGUCAUCUCCGGGCUCUCAUCAGGCCAGCCAGGAUUACGCGAGCUGGCCCGGAUGCAAAAAGGGAGAGUGAACUUGGAUUAAGUCAUUAAAGCGCAGACUCCUGCAGCCCAGGGGCCUGCUUACCAUCACACAGGCAACUUCAACGCACGCUUGUCUUUUCACUACCUGUACCCCACUCUUACGCUGUAGUUCUUGCCACUGGACCUGAAAAAGGUUCCGCACAACAUCUCCAGCAAUAUCCCCAAAGAAUGACAUACUUGUUACCAGCGAUAAUUCCAGGAACUCUGUGUUCUUAGUUACUUUGAGCUUCCUUAUCCCUAAAGGUUUCUCUCUUAAGUCCUCGUUCUAACAGCAGCACUUCUUUCCCGUGGUCCGAAUACAAAAAUGGUCCUUCAAAGUUACUAAUUCUCGAGUAAAGUUAUUGUAGUCAAAAAGCGCUAUACGCGACGCAUAAACAGUCCUGGUCUGCAACGCUCAUCCAAAAGUUUCGAGUUCUGGGGUGAGGUUCAUGCAGUUGAAAUGUGCAACAAGUAACACACGAGUGUAGCCUGCAACUACAUUUAGAGACUCCUAAAGAAGCGUUAAUAUUCCUUGAGUCCACGAUAGAGACUAGUUUCUGCGGAUGUUCCCCAAAGGUUUUUAGUUGCAGGGGUCAACGUGCC